CGGGACGGGUGAGUAAUGUCCGGGAAAGUCGCCCGAGGAGGGGGAAUAACUACGGGAAACGGUAGCUAAUACCGCAUAACGUCGCAAGACCAAAGAGGGGGACCUUCGGGCCUCUUGCCAUCGGAUGUGCCCAGAUGGGAUUAGCUAGUAGGUGGGGUAACGGCUCACCUAGGCGACGAUCCCUAGCUGGUCUGAGAGGAUGACCAGCCACACUGGAACUGAGACACGGUCCAG
rnacentral:rRNA from 1 species